GCGCGGGUGGCGGAAUGGUAUACGCGCUAGCUUGAGGUGCUAGUGGCCGCAAGGCCUUGGAGGUUCAAGUCCUCUCCCGCGCACCA
rnacentral:tRNA from 1 species